rnacentral:snoRNA from 1 species
GCGCGAGUGAUGAUUUAACCGAAAUCCAUCGCUGAGUUUCUCUGUGAGGAACAAAAAUACGAGCUUUUUAAUCCUGACGCGCU